UCCGCUCUCCCUGGCAGUGGGGGCUGCAGCAGUGCUAAAAACUGAGGGAAGAUGCCCCAAAAAACGGGCAGCAGAGGAACAAGAAGAGUUCAGAGUGAACUGUAGAAGUGCACACAUGACACUGCUGCUGUUGUAAGCCUUGAGGGACUUCCAAUCUGUGUCUACAUUGGUGUAAGAGUGGGAAUGGGAUGCUCUGGAUUGACCUCUUGGGUAAGGAAAAUCAGAUCUUUUCAUAACAAUCUGUGGAUGGCCCACCUAAGAAGGCUGAAAACAUGUAGGUUUUUCACCAAACUGACAUUGGCUUGGAGUGCAGAAUGAACACCUUCAUGCUGUGGAGAUAGUCUGGAAGUCCUGUCAUGUUGCAGAAUUGAAAACAACAUCCAAAGAAGCAUAACAGUGGAAUGUGGAAGAAGGAGAAGUAAAAGGCUGUAAGGU